UAGAAUUUACACAGGAAUCGAUUUUUCUCUCAUUGGCUAUCCAUCCUUUAUUAUUUUCUGCCUCUUUCUCUCACUUUCCGGGAAAAAAGUUUCUCUCUCGUGUCCAUUUUCUUUCACUUUCCCGGAAUAAAAGAUAGGCAUCUUCCUCUCUUUCUCUCCUUCGCUCACUUGCUGGAGAAUUUUUUUCCCGUAGCCAUUUUCUUUUCCUGUGUGAGAUGGGAAAUUGGGUUUAUUCUUUGACUGUUGAAGCAAAUUUCAGUAGUAAUUUGGUAAUAGUUAUUCUAGUCAUUCUCCAUCCCAAUAUAGAAUUGGGUGGAUUUUUUUCAUAGCCUUCCAGGCCACUUGGUGGGUGUUGCUUUCGGAUUAUCAAAACAUGGAUUUAGAGCUGUUACCUUUGACAUGAGAGUCGUCGCAGAUUUUGGAUUAUCAAGACAUGGUUUUAGAGCUGUUACCUUGGACAUGAGGGUCGUUGCAGAUCCACAGGAAAGUUUCUCAAAGCCUGUAUAUGAAUAGGAUUUGUGGGUGGGUUCUUCUGCAGGUGAUGAUUGGGCAACAAAGACCAAAAACCAAAAUUAAAAAACUGGGGUAAUGCUGGACCUAUAGAACAAGGUGCUGCAGUUUCUGGCAUAACUGAGCAGGCUGUGCUCUUUCGGUGACAUCUUACAGCCAAUUGUGAAUCCACUGAAAUGAAAACGCAUAACUGUCCAGUUGGGUAACAAGUUUCCAAGCUGAAGGAUUCAUGGGGUUAGGCACAAUGUCCAGCGCCUGCCUGGAACUUGUCGGGCCCAUUAACAUGAUUCACUACCCGAAGCUGGAAUGCACAGCAGAACUACUAAAUGCUAUAAUUUUAGUACAACAUACACAUAAAUUAAAAGCUGGGGCACAGACAAGACAUUCGAAUGCAAUUUGCAACUCCAAGGCAGAGCCUCAUACCCACAAAAAUUUUACAUUGUUUCACGCAAUAACACUGACAUAAUAAUUAGUUUUACAUUAAAUUGCAUGGCCUACAACUUUCUAUCCU